GGGGAUAUGGCUCAGUUGGUAGAGCGCUACAAUGGCAUUGUAGAGGUCGUGGGUUCGAAUCCCAUUAUCUCCACCA
rnacentral:tRNA from 1 species